UAGCAGAAUUGUUAACGACUUAAGA
rnacentral:piRNA from 1 species